AUGGCGUCCAGCGCCGGUGAUCUGCCCGAGGUGAAAUUCAAGAGGACCGGGAGCCUGGGGAGCAGCGACUACGUGCGAGCAGACAAGAUCGACCUCACCAGCCUCGACAUCCAGCUAGAGCAGCAGCUCAACAAGAAAUGGGGCAAGACCAACAUCAAGCCCCAGGGACCCAAGGCGGACUGGGAGAUUGACCUUGCUAAGCUGGAGAUCCGGCAUGUCAUCGCCCAGGGCACGUAUGGAACCGUCUACCGCGGCACCUAUGAUGGCCAGCAGGUCGCAGUGAAGCUUUUGGAUUGGGGAGAAGAUGGUUUUGCCACAGAAGCCGAAACUACUGCUUUGCGAACAUCAUUUAAGCAGGAGGUUGCUGUUUGGCAUAAGCUCAGCCAUCCUAACGUUACAAGGUUUAUUGGUGCGUCUAUGGGGACCACCGACCUCAAGAUACCGGUCAAUGACAACGGCGCGCGUGCCAACUUGCCAGCUAGAGCAUGUUGUGUUGUGGUAGAGUAUCUCGCUGGAGGCACUUUGAAGCAGUAUCUGAUAAAGAACAGACGGCGGAAGCUCGCCUACAAAGUCGUGGUUCAGCUUGCAUUGGAUCUGUCCAGAGGAUUGAGCUAUCUACACUCUAGAAAGAUUGUACAUCGGGACGUGAAAACUGAAAAUAUGCUGCUUGAUACACAGCGUAACCUUAAGAUUGCUGAUUUUGGCGUUGCACGUGUGGAGGCUCAGAAUCCGAAGGAUAUGACUGGUGCGACAGGCACACUUGGUUAUAUGGCCCCAGAGGUUCUUGAUGGUAAACCAUACAACAGGAAAUGUGAUGUUUACAGUUUUGGCAUUUGCUUGUGGGAAAUCUAUUGCUGUGACAUGCCAUACCCAGACCUAAGUUUUGCCGAUGUCUCUUCUGCUGUCGUUCACCAGAAUUUGCGGCCAGACAUACCCCGUUGCUGUCCAAGUGCAUUUGCGAACAUUAUGCGUAAAUGCUGGGAUGGAAAUCCUGAUAAGCGCCCCGAUAUGGACGAGGUGGUGCAGCUCAUGGAGGCCCUCGACACAAGCAAAGGCGGCGGUAUGAUACCGGAUGGCCAGUCGUCCGGAUGCUUGUGUUUCACCAGGGCCCGUGGCCCGUAG
rnacentral:rRNA from 1 species